AACGAACGCUGGCGGCAUGCCUAACACAUGCAAGUCGAACGAGACCUUCGGGUCUAGUGGCGCACGGGUGCGUAACGCGUGGGAACCUGCCCUUAGGUUCGGAAUAACUCCCCGAAAGGGAUGCUAAUACCGGAUAAUGUCUUCGGACCAAAGAUUUAUCGCCUUUGGAUGGGCCCGCGUUGGAUUAGCUAGUUGGUAGGGUAAAAGCCUACCAAGGCGACGAUCCAUAGCUGGUCUGAGAGGAUGAUCAGCCACACUGGGACUGAGACACGGCCCAGACUCCUACGGGAGGCAGCAGUGGGGAAUAUUGGACAAUGGGCGAAAGACUGAUCCAGCAAUGCCGCGUGAGUGAUGAAGGCCUUAGGGUUGUAAAGCUCUUUUACCCGGGAUGAUAAUGACAGUACCGGGAGAAUAAGCUCCGGCUAACUCCGUG
rnacentral:rRNA from 1 species